ensembl:lncRNA
CCUCAGGGCUCACCUUGGGAUUGGGCCAUUGGGUUUACACAAUAUGCAAACACCUAUCUCAUUGUUGAGUAUCGGUUUACAAGUGAAAACCCAUUUGAUGGAAAACAUUGGUGAAUAUAGCUGUCUGCCGUUGCAUUUGGUUGGGAAGCAGCCAGCUGAGACCACUUUAGGACACUGUCCACAGCACGGAGAAGAAGAACAAAGGGAAAAAAGAAGGGGCCGGACACGCCUGAUCGUUGAGCCGGUGUGGUUAAGCCGUCGGUGUGUCCUCACGGCCGGCCCCGGCUUUCAGAAAGGCAGGGACCGGCAGGCGGCACAUCAACCGCAGCGCUGCUAGUUGUUGUGGGAACACAGAGUGGUUUUUUGGAGAGCCACGGCAAAAUGCCCUCCCUGUGACGAAGAGGCAGUCUGAGUGACUGAUAAAAGGCUUUCUCCACUAUGAAGAGCGUCGACCGUGGCAUCAGAACCAGGCCGCUCCAGAGAGCAGGCCUGGUUGUUUUGAUGUCAGGGAUAAACCCGUACUGGGGUGUCACAUUGCAUUCUGCCGCCACCCAGCCAUCCCCACUCCCCUCCCCUUAGAGGUGUUUGGUUCAGGUCAGCGAUUGUGAUGGCGUCAUUUCGCCUCACCCUGCAUCACACAGAGGGUCAAGGCAGGUUUUUCUCAUUUGGUCCAUGGACUUGGGAAGUAAAGAAACCAAUAAAGAGACUUAUUUUUCAACUCCGCUGUGACUGCUGUGGAUUACAAUGCCUUGGUUAUGUUUAAAACAUAUCAUUGGUAAUUGAUGCUUUGUUUGAUUCUCUUAUUUAUACUGGAUAUCGGAGUCAUAAUUUUGCCAAUGUAUAUAUCCUGC